UGUUGCAGUAAAGAUGGCCUCCAGAAGCUCUAAGCUGACAUGGUUUUUUAUGCUCAAGAUCUCUGAAGGAAUCAAUAGCAUUCUAGAAAGCAAGAUAGACCAUGAAGAGUAUGGGAAGAAACAGGAAGUCCUAUUUCCUGGUUAAAGACCCAGCAGCUGUGUAAUAGGGACAACUUGCAGGUCAAGGGGCUCUCUGUGUUAUGACAUGUCAGACUGGGGAAACGAGUGAAGCAGGUACAGUGAAACUGUUUUUGUUUUAUUAUUAUUAUUCUUUUCAAUGCCCUUUUCAUCUUUCUGUGCUCUAACAAGAUGCUGUACCUUCUCGCCUAUAUUUUGGAGCUCUCAUAAAGGUAUUUUCAUCCAUGGAUGAUUGUUAAAUAGGUGUUUUUGUUGGGGAUGAAGGCCAGAAACUCCUACUUUGCUAUCUUACUGUGUCAGUUCUGUUGAUUUUUAAUUUUAUUGCAUUGUCUUUGAAACAGUUGUAUAACAUUAAUCUUUUUAAGCUUUUGAGACAUUUUUAUGACCAAACAUAAUCAUUUCUGCAGGAUAUUUCAGAUUGACUUGAGGAGAAUGUGUAUUUUCCUGAUUAGGGGUGGACUGUUCCACAGAUGUCUAUGAGUUCUAUUUGAUGUUGUUCUGAUAUUUUAUCAUAUUAUUCUUCAGUCUAGUUUUUUAUAAUUAAAAGUGGGCAAUUCAAAUCUUCAAUUAUUUUUGUGGAAUUGUCUAUUUCUCCUUCAAUUCUGUCACUUUUCUUCAUGUAUUUUUGGAUUCUGUUAGUAAGUUCAUAUAUGUUUAUGAUUAUGUAUUCUUCAUGGAUUGGUAC
rnacentral:lncRNA from 13 species